AUGAAAGCCCACGAAAAUUCGCAAAGAAGCCUAAAAACCGUGCAUCUCACCAUCACAAUAAAGAACCCAAAAUAUGAUUUCAUCAUCAUUUUCCCAAAAAACGAAAACCCUUCAGAAAAUUGGAAAGAGGAAAAGAUUUCCGAAUCACAUAGAAGAAGAAGAAGAUACAAGAUUCAUAAAGAUAUCACCCGGAAGAAACCGAAAGCCACCGUCAACCUCCUUUGUCUCGCUGAAAAAUCGCUCACCUCACUGAAUCUCCUCCGCUCACCUCUUCUUUUCCGUCUAAAAGAUACCUAA